AAGUAAAACACUCUCUAACUUGUUCUUUAUCAUGAAGCAACUGCAUAAGAGUAUGUGAAAUGCAUCAGUUAAAAAGAAAACUAUGAGGAAACACUAACUGUGACUAGUUGAAAAACACUUCCAGGUAAUUACAAGCUUAGACAUGAGAUAUUUUUACAUUUGUCAUAUCAGCCAACUUAGUCAAUGGUUUUCGUUUUAAUAUAGGUAAUUUUAUUAACUGACUCCUGAAUAGAACCAAGUUUAAAAAGAGGGUUGUGCUCUACAGUUGCAUGUAAAUGUAGCAGCUGUGAUACUUUGAAACCAAGUCCAGUCUUCUACCUGUUUUUCAGGCUUGUUCUUUGGAAUAGCUCUAACAAUUUGUGUAGAUAAGAUGGGCAGGUUUUAGCCUUUAACCAGAGAUGAAUCUUGCAAGUGAAAUGUCUGCAGUGGUAGUAAUUAGUUCCUAAACGUGUAACUACAAAGAGUAUUGUGUGUAAUAUAAUGAGAGAAGUUUAUAUAUUAUAAAUUUGUGUCUCCUUUAUACCCUUUAUCUUGUAAAGCCUUAUUUGAUGAUAUGCAUGAUUUUUCUAUGAUACAUGAAAUAAACUUUCAUUCAAGCAGACUUAUAUUUUUAUUAUCUUUUAGAUACUACAGAUGAAGCACUGACAACAGUCCUUGUCUUUUUGUUUCCAUCUGUGAUAGUCAUAAAUCAGGAGGUUGCAACCUGCAUCUACUUUCUGUAGUCAUGCCAGCAAGUCAGGGUCAGGAUGAGUGAGAUCAUGGCUCAGCACAAACGUGCUCAGACUGCAGGUGGUUGUUCCUCCCCUUUAGCUAUGGAAUCUGUCUUGGUUCCAUUUGCUAUAAAUAUGAAACUAGCUCAUGCAGAACAGGACAGACAGCUUAGAUGGGAAGAAAUGAGAACUUUAUCUCAGACAGCCUUUGCCUGGGAGGCAGGAAGGACCAGUUUGAAUUCCUUCAGGGCAACCAGUGAAGUUUAUCCUGCCCUAGGCCACCUGUUGAUAAGGAUACUGUUCCAGCUUUCAUCACUUCCUCAUUAUGUUUAUAUUGGUUUCAUAAAGUAAGCAGUAUUUUUUAAGAGCCAGCUUCCUCUUUUAGUUCUUAUAUAACCAAAAAAAUUUCCAAGACAAUUUCAUCCAAAAAAAGCCUAGACCAUUUAAAAGUGGAGGAGCACUUGAACAAUGCAUUCACUCCAGACUUAAGCAAAAAAAUCCUCCGAUUCUCUGAUUUUCAGAAAUGUACUGAACAAACAUCCCUUGCAACUAAGCUUUCUGUAAAUGAAAAGCAAAAAGCAGAAAACCCAAAAGGUUAAGAGGGGUAAAUUCUAGCAGUUGCUGCUUCUGAGCAUUAAAACAGUUGGGUUGAAUACUGUGUGCUGGUUUUCAGGGUAGAGUUAAUUCUCUUCACAUAGUUUGGAUGGGACAGUGUUUUGGGUUUGUGCUGAACACAGGGUUGAUAAUUCAGGGAUGUUUUAGUUACAGCAUGAGAGUGCUCACACAACCUCAAUGCCCCCCCCCCCCCCCCCCCCCCCCCCCCCCCCCCCCCCCCCCCCCCCCCCCCCCCCCCCUCACCCCACCUGGUGAGGUGGGGGGGUGGGGGGGCGUGAGGGCUGAGGGUGCACAAGGACUCAGGAGGGGACACAGCCAGGACAGCUAACCCCAGGUGACCCCAGGGAUAUUCCUUCCACACCAUAUGACAUAGGGAAGGGAAGGGAAGGGAAGGGAAGGGAAGGGAAGGGAAGGGAAGGGAAGGGAAGGGAAGGGAAGGGAAGGGAAGGGAAGGGAAGGGAAGGGAAGG
rnacentral:lncRNA from 1 species